AACGAACGCUGGCGGCGCGCUUAACACAUGCAAGUCGAGCGAGAACCAGAGCUUCGGCUCUGGGGACAGCGGCGAACGGGUGAGUAACACGUGGGUAAUCUGCCCUCGGUACUGGGAUAGCCCGGGGAAACCCGGAUUAAUACCGGAUGGCCCUUUGAGUCCUCGGACUUGAAGGAACAGGUAGCUUCGGCCUCCGACCGAGGAUGAGCCCGCGGCGGAUUAGCUUGUUGGUGGGGUAACGGCCACCAAGGCUCCGAUCCGUAGCUGGUCUGAGAGGACGAUCAGCCACACUGGGACUGAGACACGGCCCAGACUCCUACGGGAGGCAGCAGUGGGGAAUCUUGUCCAAUGGGCGAAAGCCUGAGACAGCGACGCCGCGUGC
rnacentral:rRNA from 1 species